UUAACGGUCCUUCUGAGGACCACCAAACGAAUCAACUUAAUUUUCU
rfam:Rhodnius prolixus Rhodnius_prolixus-3.0.3-586.2, whole genome shotgun sequence.